rnacentral:rRNA from 1 species
UUCUUGUGGUAUGCCUUCUUAAAAAUAUAACAAGCCUGAUCCCAUCUGAUCUCGGAAACUAAGCAGGGUCAAGCCUGGUUAGUACUGGGAUGGGAGACCACCUAGGAAGACCAAGUGGUAUAGGUGU